AUUGAACGCUGGCGGCAGGCCUAACACAUGCCAGUCGAGCGGAUGAAGGGAGCUUGCUCCUGGAUUCAGCGGCGGACGGGUGAGUAAUGCCUAGGAAUCUGCCUGGUAGUGGGGGAUAACGUCCGGAAACGGGCGCUAAUACCGCAUACGUCCUGAGGGAGAAAGUGGGGGAUCUUCGGACCUCACGCUAUCAGAUGAGCCUAGGUCGGAUUAGCUAGUUGGUGGGGUAAAGGCCUACCAAGGCGACGAUCCGUAACUGGUCUGAGAGGAUGAUCAGUCACACUGGAACUGAGACACGGUCCAGACUCCUACGGGAGGCAGCAGUGGGGAAUAUUGGACAAUGGGCGAAAGCCUGAUCCAGCCAUGCCGCGUGUGUGAAGAAGGUCUUCGGAUUGUAAAGCACUUUAAGUUGGGAGGAAGGGCAGUAAGUUAAUACCUUGCUGUUUUGACGUUACCAACAGAAUAAGCACCGGCUAACGUCGUG
rnacentral:rRNA from 1 species